AAAGUCGUAACAAGGUCUCCGUAGGUGAACCUGCGGAGGGAUCAUUACAGAGCUCAUUGCCCCUAACGGGUAGAUCUCCCCACCCCUAUGUUAUCAUUUACCCAUGUUGCUUUGGCGGGCCGUCAGGCUCACGCUCGGCUACCGGCUCUGGCUGGUAAGCGCCCCGCCAGAGGACCCUCAAACCCCUGAAAUAUUUCGUGUCGUCUGAGUACCAUAUAAUAGUUAAAA
rnacentral:misc_RNA from 1 species